rnacentral:lncRNA from 1 species
AAACAUAAAGAUAGAGUUUUUUAGUGACUAAAUAAAUAAAAAAAUAUAAAUAGAAAAAAAAUUUGGAAAUUUGCUAUAGAAACUUAAUCAGAUAUAAGCAUGGGUGACUAGCUCGCUUUAGUUUAUGGAUAGACCAUACAUAUUUUGGGUUAAUUCCCAUCUAAAUGACUUCCUAAGGUCGUCAAGCCUAGGGUUUAAAUUCUUCCUUUCCCAAAUAGCUGAUCCGCUAAAAAAACCCUACACAGCAAUCAAUUAAUCAUACCUCCACUCGGUAAUCCCCCACAAGAGAAUUAGUUCCUAAUGGAUCGAAAAUACAUAAUAAACUUGAUAUAAAAGAUGAACAUAAAUAGUAAAUCAAGAUACGAAGGUUUAAGACAAGUCUGGAUUGUAUUUAAUUGAAGUACGAAAUCCACAAAGAGUUGAUUGAGUUCCACAAGUCUGAUCUCACAAAAAAUGCAAAAUUGAAAAUAACCUAAAGCCAAAAAAAGGGAAAUACUAAAAACUGAAACUAUAAAGAAAAUUCUACAGUAUGAAAAGUUAUCCCUAAUAAGUGUUAAAUGAACAUAUUUAUAGAGUUAAAGUUGCCAUCAUCCUCAACCCUAGGUCAACUAACGCUCUCGUGUUUAAUAUUUGAUUGUGCAGACCAAAAAACCCUUGACUCAUAAGUAUUUCUUGUACAGGACUGAUGUCGCGACAACCUAGUGCUUGUGUUGCAACAUCAAAGGCAAUAUGCUCAUACUCAAUGUAGCUUUAGGGGUGUGUCGUAACACCAAAGGUAGUCUUGGAAUUCUUGGUCUCUACUCCCUACAUUGUGAAAUCAAACUCCCCAUGUUGCAACAUAGUGACUAGUAUUGGGUUCGUAUGCCCUCUAAUGGUCUGCUGGACACUUACAAAGUAUAUUAACUCACCCUUAGGCCUCAUUCGAGCCAUAAGGUCAAUAAAGGACUCAAAUUACAUUUUUUAUUGAAUGUAAACAAAACUAAAAAAACUUAAUUAAAACAUAAC